rnacentral:rRNA from 1 species
UACGUAGGCAGCAAGCGUUGUUCGGAGUUACUGGGCGUAAAGGGUGUGUAGGCGGUUGGAUAAGUGUGGUGUGAAAUCUCCCGGCUUAACUGGGAGGGUGCGCUACAAACUGUCUGACUAGAGUGUGGGAUGGGUAAGUGGAAUUCCUGGUGUAGCGGUGAAAUGCGUAGAUAUCGGGAGGAACACCAGUGGCGAAGGCGGCUACCUGGACCGGUUCUGACACUGAGGAGCGAAAGCGUGGGGAGCGAUCCGG